GCUGUGGCUCAUCGGCAGAGUGCUUGCCUAGCAUGCAUGAGGCAUUGGGUUCGAUCCUCAGCACAACA
rnacentral:tRNA from 1 species